rnacentral:rRNA from 1 species
CCUACGGGUGGCAGCAGUGAGGAAUAUUGGUCAAUGGCCGGAAGGCUGAACCAGCCAUGCCGCGUGAAGGUCAGUGCCCUAUGGGCGUUAAACUUCUUUGGUGCGGGAGCAAUAAUGGUCACGUGUGGCCAGACGAGAGUACCGUACGAAUAAGCAUCGGCUAACUCCGUGCCAGCAUCCGCGGUAAUACGGGGGAUGCAAGCGUUAUACGGAUUUAUUGGGGUUAAAGGGUGAGUAGGCUGUGAGGUAAGUCAGCGGUGAAAUGCCCCCGCUCAACGGGGUGAAGUGCCAUUGAAACUGCCUUGCUGGAAUGCGGAUGCCGUGGGAGGAAUGUGUGGUGUAGCGGUGAAAUGCAUAGAUAUCACACAGAACACCGAUUGCGAAGGCAUCUCACGAAUCCGCGAUUGACGCUGAUGCACGAAAGCGUGGGUAUCAAACAGGAUUAGAUACCCUUGUAGUC